rnacentral:rRNA from 1 species
AACGAACGCUGGCGGCGGGCCUCAUACAUGCAAGUCGAGCGCGAAAGUCCGCAAGGAUGAGUAAAGCGGCGCACGGGUGAGUAACACGUGGGUAAUCUACCUUUUGGAUUGGAAUAACCUGUCGAAAGACGGGCUAAUGCCGAGUAAGCCUUCUUGAACGUGAAGUUCGAGACGGGAAAGAUGGCGCAAGCUAUCGCCGAAAGAUGAGCCUGCGUCCCAUUAGUUAGUUGGUGGGGUAAUGGCUUACCAAGACAAUGAUGGGUACCUGGUUUGAGAGAAUGAUCAGGCACACUGGAACUGAAACACGGUCCAGACUCCUACGGGAGGCAGCAGUAGGGAAUAUUGCGCAAUGGACGAAAGUCUGACGCAGCCACGCCGCGUGAGUGAGGAAGGCCUCGGGUUGUAAAGCUCUGUCGGCGUGGGAAAACGGACUAGUCCGGGGAAAGGUUCGGGUAGCGUGAUGGUACC